rnacentral:rRNA from 1 species
CCUACGGGACGCAGCAGUGGGGAAUAUUGCACAAUGGGGGGAACCCUGAUGCAGCGACGCCGCGUGGGUGAAGGAGCACCUCGGUGCGUAAGGCCCUAUCGGCAGGGAAGAAAAGCGAACAGGUUCGCCUGGACGGUACCUGACUAAGAAGCCCCGGCUAACUACGUGCCAGCAGCCGCGGUAAUACGAAGGGGGCAAGCGUUAUCCGGAUUCACUGGGUGUAAAGGGGGCGUAGAUGGCAUAGUAAGUCUUUU